GAUGAACGCUGGCGGCGUGCCUAAUACAUGCAAGUCGAGCGAACGGACGAGAAUCUUGCUUCUCUGAUGUUAGCGGCGGACGGGUGAGUAACACGUGGAUAACCUCCCUAACAGACUGGGAUAACUUCGGGAAGCCGUAGCUAAUACCGGAUAAUCUCUUGAACCGCAUGGUUCAAAAGUGAAAGACGGUCUUGCUGUCACUUAUAGAUGGAUCCGCGCUGCAUUAGGUAGUUGGUGAGGUAACGGCUUACCAAGGCAACGAGGCAUAGCAGGCCUGAGAGGGUGAUCGGGCACGCGGGGACUGAGACACGCACCAGGCUCCUACGGGAGGCAGCAGUAGGGAAUCUGCCGCAAUGGGCGAAAGCCUGACGGAGCAACGCCGCGUGAGUGAUGAAGGUCGUGGGAGCGUAAAACUCUGUUAUUAGGGAAGAACAUUUGUGUAAGUAACUGUGCACAUCUUGACGGUACCUAAUCAGAAAGCCACGGCUAACUACGUG
rnacentral:rRNA from 1 species